GGAGCUCAGUGGUAGAGUACCUGCUCUGCAUGCAGAAGUUCCCAGGUUCAACCCCCAGGUGGGGCU